CACCGUCUUCAUUGGAAUCGCUUGGCAAACAAAUGCCCGACCGACUAUCUUGUGCCUGGCAACCAAAUGCCGACUUCUUCACCGACGAUCCAAGUUGCGCAACCACCGUGAAAAUCGCCGAGGAUCUAGUCGUCUUCUCCAUCGUCAUUGCGUUGGGUUGAAGAAGCAGGUCAUUCGUUGGGGUUUGGUGGACUUUUUUCGCUUUUCUUCCGCAGGCGCGCUGUCUUUAGGGAUGAUGGCUUAGAAAAUUGCUUAUCAAAUUCCUGUUUCACUCUGGAUUUAGAUCGGGUAUACGCUAUGGAACGCGGAAUACAGAAUCUCAUUGAUGAGGAAUUUUGAUAUACAGUCAGACAGUUGGAGUAGAUCAGAUUUUGCAGAGGAGAAUCAUGUUCUGGAAGUGAAGAGUAGUGAUGAGACAGACGGUGAUCGGUGUGCAGAUUAUUUGGAGAAGAUGGAUAUCAAAAGCGCUGGGGCUUUGUCUCCUGAAGCUCUGAACUAUAUUCAGAACCUAGAAUCCGAACUAUCUUUGUCUAAGAAGGAACUGGAUGAGAAGAAGCAAGAAAUGCACAAAUAGAAAGUUGUAUGAGAGAAAAUAACAAUGACCUAUUGGAGUAUUUGAGGUCCUUGGAAUCUGAUAUGGUAACUGAACUAUCACAGCCAUCUUCAUCAGAAGUUGAGGAUAUUAUUCGAAACUUGUUCAAAAUAUUUUACGCCAAUUCUAUAAAG